rnacentral:rRNA from 1 species
CUUUUGACCUCGGAUCAGGUAGGGAUACCCGCUGAACUUAAGCAUAUCAAUAAGCGGAGGAAAAGAAACCAACAGGGAUUGCCCUAGUAACGGCGAGUGAAGCGGCAACAGCUCAAAUUUGAAAUCUGGCUCUUUCAGAGUCCGAGUUGUAAUUUGCAGAGGGCGCUUUGGCGUUGGCAGCGGUCCAAGUUCUUUGGAACAGGACGUCACAGAGGGUGAGAAUCCCGUACGUGGUCGCUAGCCUUCGCCGUGUAAAGCCCCUUCGACGAGUCGAGUUGUUUGGGAAUGCAGCUCUAAAUGGGAGGUAAAUUUCUUCUAAAGCUAAAUAUUGGCCAGAGACCGAUAGCGCACAAGUAGAGUGAUCGAAAGAUGAAAAGCACUUUGGAAAGAGAGUCAAAUAGCACGUGAAAUUGUUGAAAGGGAAGCGCUUGCAGCCAGACUUGCCUGUAGUUGCUUAUCUGGACUUUUGUCCGGUGCACUCUUCUAUAGGCAGGCCAGCAUCAGUUUGGGCGGUUGGAUAAAGGUCUCUGUCAUGUACCUCCUUUCGGGGAGGCCUUAUAGGGGAGACGACAUGCAACCAGCCUGGACUGAGGUCCGCGCAUCUGCUAGGAUGCUGGCGUAAUGGCUGUAAGCGGCCCGUCUUGAAACACGGACCAAGGAGUCUAACAUCUAUGCGAGUGUUUGGGUGUCAAGCCCAGACGCGUAAUGAAAGUGAACGGAGGUGGGAACCCUUUGGGU